CUAUUGAUACUUGUUUAAAGCACGAUUGGUUGCGCACGCCGAGGCCAGUAACCGGUCAUAUGUGCCUAGGACAUGGUGAUGCAGGUCAUUCGUUGGACCCAACGAGAAUGAUCCUAUAUCGAUGAAAAGUUGCUAGUGAAUUGACGGCCAGCCCGUUGAUCCUCGUCCGAAGCAUGAUUGGUUACACAGGCCCGUGCCAGUGACCGGUCAUAUGUGCCUAGGACGUGGUGAUGUGGGUGAUGCAUUGAGGAAAGGUUUCUUCUCUGUUUUUGCUAGCGGGCAGCCCGUUGAACCUCAACCGAAGCACGAUUGGUUGCACAGGCCUGUGCCAGUGACCGAUGCUGAGGACAUGG